rnacentral:hammerhead_ribozyme from 1 species
GCACUGCUGAGGAGUCCCACACUAGGACGAAACGGCCGUCCGGUGC